rnacentral:tRNA from 1 species
GGAUUAUGGCUCAGCGGUAGAGCGCUCGCCUAGCAAGUAUGAGGCCCUGGGUUCGAUCCUCAGCACCA